UAGGGAAUCUUCCGCAAUGGACGACAGUCUGACGGAGCAACGCCGCGUGAGUGAAGAAGGAUUUCGGUUCGUAAAACUUUGUUGUUAGGGAAGAAAAAAUGUAUAGUAACUAUAUACAAAAGAGACGGUACCUAACCAGAAAGCCACGGCUAACUACGUGCCAGCAGCCGCGGUAAUACGUAGGUGGCAAGCGUUGUCCGGAAUUAUUGGGCGUAAAGCGCGCGCAGGUGGUUUAGAAAGACUGAUGUGAAAGCCCACGGCUCAACCGUGGAGGGUCAUUGGGAACUAAUAAACUUGAGUGCAGGAGAGAGGGGUGGAAUUCCUAGUGGAGCGGUGAAAUGCGUAGAGAUUAGGAGGAACACCGGUGGCGAAAGCGGCUUUUUGGCCUGCAACUGACACUGAGGCGCGAAAGCGUGGGGGGCAAACAGG
rnacentral:rRNA from 1 species